rnacentral:tRNA from 1 species
GGUGCUAUCGUCUAGUGGCCUAGGACAACGGCCUCUCACGCCGUAAACCGGGGUUCGAUUCCCCGUAGCACUACCA